ACGAACGCUGGCGGCGUGCCUAAUACAUGCAAGUCGAACGGUCUUUCUAUGGAAGCUUGCUUCCACUGAGAAGAUAGUGGCGAACGGGUGAGUAACGACGUGGGUAACCUGCCCAUAAGAGGGGGAUAACAUCCGGAAACGGGUGCUAAUACCGCAUAGUUUUCUUGAUCGCAUGAUUGAGAAAGGAAAGACGGCCUUUGUGCUGUCGCUUAUGGAUGGACCCGCGGCGUAUUAGUUAGUUGGUGAGGUAAUGGCUCGACCAAGACGAUGAUACGUAGCCGACCUGAGAGGGUGAUCGGCCACAUUGGGACUGAGACACGGCCCAAACUCCUACGGGAGGCAGCAGUAGGGAAUCUUCCGCAAUGGACGAAAGUCUGACGGAGCAACGCCGCGUGAGUGAAGAAAGGUUUUCGGAUCGUAAAACUCUGUUGUCAGAGAAGAACAAGUUGGAGAGUAACUGCUCCAGCCUUGACGGUAUCUGACCAGAAAGCCACGGCUAACUACGUGCCAGCCGCCGC
rnacentral:rRNA from 1 species